GGGUAUAGUGAGGUAGAGAGAGAAAUUUAGAGAGAGAAAUAAUUUUUUAGAGAGAGAAAGUGCUUCUAGAGAGAGAGGGGAGAGCGAAAAAGGAGAUCUGAUCAAAUCGAGAAAGAAAGGUAAACAAAAACGAAACCCUAAUCCUACUGUUUCUUCCAAUCCCAAAUCUCUUCUCUUCUUUCUUCUUUGUGGCUGUGUUUAUACAUAUAUGUAUAUGCGUAGGUAGUCUCUCGUCGUACUUGUAUAGAUUUAAACUAGAGUAGAUCGUGAAAGCCAGAAAGGUUCAAGCUUUGCUAUAGGUUUUUGUAUUGCCCUGAUUGAAUUGUGAUUCUGGGGCAAAAUUAGGGUUUUGCGGGUGGUUUUACGGAGGUGAAAAACCCUAGUUCUGGGCCAGUCUUGUGAUUCGCUGGUGCGAAGAGAAAGAGAAUUAGGGUUUUGGAGUUACAUGUAUGGCUUCGGGGUCUAUAGUUGGAGAAGGAGGUGGAAAUGAUGGAGCUAGAGAGAAACAGAGGUAUACAGGGAACAAAGUCUAUACAAGAAAAGCUUUUAAAGGUAACAGGAACAACAUCAACAACCUCGCCACCCCCAUCACCACCACCAAUAACAAAGACACAAGCCAAGCCGCUACCAACACCACCACAACAGCUACUGUAGCUACACCUUCACCUGCACCUCCACCAUCACUUGCGCCUGCAGCCAACAACGACAGCAGCAGCAAGAAUGGCGGUAACGACAACAGCGGCGGUAACGACAACUGCGGCAAGAGUGGCGGUAACGACAACAGCGGCAAGAGUGGCGGUAACGAAAACAGCGGCAAGAGUGGCGAUAACGACAACAGCGGCAAGAGUGGCGAUAACGACAACAGCGGCAAGAAUGGCAAUAAAGACAAUAGCAGCAAGAAUGGCAACGAUGACAAUAUCAACGAGAGAAAUGAUGAGAACAACUCAAUUCAAGUUCCAGAAUUAAAAAACCCAGCUUUAGAAGAUACAAAUUUGGUUCAGCAGCAACCCAUUUCCCGUCUGGAUGCCAACUCUGAUGAUUCUUCUAGCCUCAAUAGGCAGGAAGGUGUUUCUGUCGUGGCCCCAAGUGGCCGGGACCUGACCACUGGGAAUGGAGUGGUGAAACAAGGAUUGGAGGAUAAAGUAAAGAUAAAUUUGUCAUCGAAGUCUAAGCAGGAAAUGAGAGAGCUCAGAAAAAAACUGGAGAGUGAACUUGACAUGGUGAGGAGUUUGGUGAAAAAGAUUGAGGACAAAGAAGGACAGCAUGGUGUUGGUAGUAUUAAUACUGGACGGGUUUCUCUGAAUGAUGGAGUUGAUAAUGGAUUUAGGAGGGUUUAUUCAGAGGUGGGAUCAGUGGGUGUUCCUCGUGAGAUUACUACUCCUGUUCUAACACCUACUCCUAGGCAGUCUAGGCCUUUGAAUCAGCUUAGUAUAUCAGUGCUGGAGAAUAGUCUGGGUGGCGGUGAGAUUGUGGAGAAAGAGAAGAGGACACCAAAGGCAAAUCAGUUCUAUAGAAAUUCGGAAUUUUUGCUUGCUAAAGACAAGUUUCCACCAGCAGAGAGCAACAAGAAAUCGAAAUUGAAUGGGAAGAAGCAAGGGGGAGGGGAUUUGGGAUUUGGGACAGGGUCCAAGGUUUUCAAGAAUUGUAGUGCUUUGCUUGAGAAAUUGAUGAAGCAUAAGCAUGGUUGGGUGUUUAAUAGUCCUGUUGAUGUGAAGCAGCUUGGCUUGCAUGAUUACUUUACCAUAAUUAAGCAUCCUAUGGACCUGGGCACUGUGAAGAUGAGGCUGCACAAGAAUUGGUACAAGUCGCCCGAGGAGUUUGCAGAGGAUGUCAGACUAACAUUUCAUAAUGCUUUGAAGUAUAAUCCAAAGGGGCAAGAUGUUCAUAUAAUGGCAGAGAUGCUAUUGAAGAUGUUUGAGGAAAGGUGGGCUGUUAUAAAGUCAGACUAUGAUAGGGAGAUGAGGUUUGCUGUCAGUUAUGAGCUGGGUAUUCCUACACCCACAUCAAGGAAGGCUCAUCCAUUGCCACCCCCUCCUCUUGAUAUGAGGAGGAUUCUGGAUAGAUCAGAAUCAAUGACUUAUCCGACGGGGGAUCUUAGGCCAAAACCUAUUAGUACAACUCCUUCAGGAAGAACCCCUGCUCCAAAAAAGCCCAAGGCGAAGGAUCCACACAAGAGGGACAUGACUUAUGAGGAGAAGCAGAAACUUAGCACGAACCUCCAGAGCUUACCUUCAGAAAAGCUGGACAAUAUCGUCCAGAUAAUAAAGAAGAGAAAUUCAUCACUUUUCCAACAUGAUGAUGAAAUUGAAGUGGAUAUUGAUAGUGUUGAUGCUGAGACUCUUUGGGAACUGGAUAGGUUUGUUACCAACUACAAGAAGAGUUUAAGCAAGAACAAGAGAAAAGCUGAACUCGCUAUUCAAGCAAGAGCAGAAGCUGAGCAGAAUGUACAGGAGAAUACACCAACACCAGUUGUGGCAGAGGAACCACGAGAAAAUAAAACAGCUGAUGAAAGGAAUGUUUCCACCUCAUCACCUGUUCAAGUGGAGAAUCAGGGAGAUAAUGGCACUAGGUCAAGUAGUUCAAGCAGUUCUAGUAGUGAUUCUGGUUCCUCUUCAAGUGAAUCUGAUAGUGACAGCUCCUCAGCGUCUGGAUCUGAUGUAGGGCAUUAACCGAGGAGUUGAGUAGUUAUGAUCGUAGUCAGAAUUGCAAAACGUUUGUGGAUUUUAUGUGCCUGAUCACUGGGGCAUUGUGUGCACCUAGUAUUUCUUUUGAGAUCCCAGAAAAAUUAGAGUAGAUUGCAAGGUGAUGUCAUGAAUAACAGGUCAUGAUUUUGCGAGAGGAAUCGGCAAUUGGUGUACAGUGAAGUUCAAAAAGCAGGCACAGGCACACGCAGAGCAGAGUGGAGCGUAUCUCCGCUUAAAUGGUUCCUCGAACCUAGAACUAAAAGUGGCAUAAUAUUUGUCCAGUGCAGAAAAAUUUGUAUAAUAUUUGGGUAGAAUGUGGUGAUGAUUAGAUACAGAGCAAAUGGGUUUGGUUUUUUUUUUUUUUUCUGUAGCACGUGUACAUGACUAACUAGCCGCUACUCUUUUCCAUAACUUCGUUGUUGAUUUUCUCCUUGCAGAUUCAGGAUUCUUUGUUGUUAUACAAAAAGAUAAUCUGUAAUUCCACCUU